AUUGAACGCUGGCGGCAGGCCUAACACAUGCAAGUCGAACGGUAACAGAAAGCAGCUUGCUGCUUUGCUGACGAGUGGCGGACGGGUGAGUAAUGUCUGGGAAACUGCCUGAUGGAGGGGGAUAACUACUGGAAACGGUAGCUAAUACUGCAUAACGUCGCAAGACCAAAGAGGGGGACCUUCGGGCCUCUUGCCAUCGGAUGUGCCCAGAUGGGAUUAGCUAGUAGGUGGGGUAAAGGCUCACCUAGGCGACGAUCCCUAGCUGGUCUGAGAGGAUGACCAGCCACACUGGAACUGAGACACGGUCCAGACUCCUACGGGAGGCAGCAGUGGGGAAUAUUGCACAAUGGGCGCAAGCCUGAUGCAGCCAUGCCGCGUGUAUGAAGAAGGCCUUCGGGUUGUAAAGUACUUUCAGCGGGGAGGAAGGGAGUAAAGUUAAUACCUUUGCUCAUUGACGUUACCCGCAGAAGAAGCACCGGCUAACUCCGUG
rnacentral:rRNA from 1 species